rnacentral:misc_RNA from 1 species
AUUGAAAUCGAAGAUGCAAAGUUCGAAUUCACGCGUCCGAAAAUCUUAAUUCCCUCCGGCUGAGCGAUGUUGCAACUGUAACAACGCAACCCAUUUUACAAACGGACCCGGAAUUUCUUGACGUUCUUUUGUCAAUGCGUCCUCUCGUCAUCUAAAACAGGCAUCGUAUAUUCGAAAUAUCACCAGCGUAAAGCUCCGGCCUUUUUAUACUCUGGUAUAUUUAUUUUUUAUCCAUCGACGCCGAGUCAACUAGUGGGAAUCGGAAAUAAGUAUUCACGUAUCGCUGCAGGCCAUUCUUACGCAGGCUUUGGUCGUUCGAACAAUGUACUCGACAUUGUUAUAUCGCAAGCGUUACACGUCCAGCUGCCCGGCAAGGCUCUGCGUUAUGCGAUAGAAGUUGUUGUUGCUGCUGCUGAUGCGGUGGUCGGAAGUAACCAGAUGAAACCAACCGAGACUAAUCGUUGAUUGGAUAAAUGCGUGUUUUCUGUGCCGUCGUAUUAUUGAUAAGUGGAUAAAGAUUGCUCCCGCCUCACGAAUACUAAAAACCGUCUAUGCAUUGAAAUGCACGGAUGAUCUAUCAUCAUCUUGAUCAAAAUGUUGAUAAAAGAAUAUCGGAUACCUCUGCCUUUGACAGUGGAGGAAUAUCGCAUAGCUCAACUUUACAUGAUAGCGAAAAAAUCACGCGAAGAAAGUAAAGGCGUGGGCAGCGGUGUUGAGAUUCUUGUCAACGAACCUUAUACCAACGGUCCAGGUGGCAACGGACAAUAUACUCGAAAAAUAUACCAUGUCGGUAGCCAUUUGCCAGCUUGGUUCAAAAGUCUUUUACCAAAAUCGGUUCUCACGACGGAGGAAGAAGCUUGGAACGCUUAUCCUUACACAAAGACACGCUACACUUGUCCGUUCGUUGAGAAAUUCUCUAUAGAGAUAGAGACCUACUAUUAUUCGGACAACGGAUAUCAGGAGAAUGUUUUCAAACUCUCCGGCAGCGAUUUGAGAAACAGAAUCGUGGAUGUCAUCGACUUGGUCAAGGAUCAGUUGUACGGCGAAUAUGUGAAAGAAGAGGACCCAAAGUUAUACGUGUCGGAAAAGACGGGUCGCGGACCGCUUACAGAUUCAUGGCUGGAAGAAUACUGGGCGGAUGUGAAGGGAAAGUCGCAGCCAACACCUUCCGGCAAAUCGCUGAUGUGCGCCUACAAAAUAUGCAGAGUGGAAUUUCGUUAUUGGGGAAUGCAAACUAAGUUGGAAAAAUUCAUCCACGAUCACGCGCUUCGAAAAACAAUGGUUCGCGCUCAUCGUCAAGCGUGGGCUUGGCAGGACGAAUGGUACGGUUUAACCAUGGAGGACAUAAGAGAAAUUGAGAGGCAGACGCAACUGGCGCUACAGCGUACAAUGGGGGCUGGCGAGUCGGGAGAAGAUGCGGCGGACGACGAUCAGCUGGAUGGAACGGGCAACGUAUCCUCGUCUCAAGACAAAGAUGUCGCCAAGACUCUUGCCGCUACCUUGGGAAGCAUAGAGAAAAACGAAGACCCCCAGAGUCCGGCUUACCUCAGAAAGCAAUCAGACAUUCCAGUUAUCAAUACGGCCAUGAGUUCGGAAGGUGAAUUAAGCCCCGAGGACUCGCCGACGGAAUCAUCUGCUCCCCGACUCAUCGACGAAAGGAGCGACGUCAAAAAGACAUGGAAGAGGAGUAACCCGUCGCUUCAUUCGCCGAGUUCAGCUAAAAGUUUUGACAUACAAGUAGCGAAUUGGCGCAUGGAGAGUAUCGUCAGAGAGUCGGAAUCCGGUAGCGAGGAUGAAUUCUUUGAUUGUCAAGCUGGGUUCAUAAUACCUACUAUCCACAAAGAGGACUUUGGAGAUAAUUCGUCAUUAGCUAAAUGGAGUUCUUUGGAUCUUCUAGCUGAAGAGGAUGACACGGUUUCUCCGACUGCCGUGACAAGCAAUAAGCAAGAAGACACAAUAUUUUCACAUUCGUACUUGCAACGCGUGGCAAGCGAAAGGAGCAAUAAGCGGUUGUACAUUAGGUCUUCGGCCAGCAUCGACGUGUCCUGCCCAGCUUCGCCCCAACAUUCUCCAACGAAUCAGCCAUGCAGAACUACCGUUCUGCUCAUUGUCUUACAUGCCGGAAGUGUUCUAGAUGCCAAUGUCGACUUGACGGCGAAAAAGUCGGACAUCACUACCUUUAGAGGGGCCUUUGAAUCCGUCAUGAGGCAACAUUAUCCCAGUAUGGUUGGACACAUUGCGAUUAAGUUUGUUUCCUGUCCCUCCAUAUGCACAGAAGUUCUCUGUAUUUUGUCGAGCUUGAGCCCUUACAGUUUUGACGUUUCUCCGUCUUGCACCGACGCUCCGCAGGUGACGCACGACACAAUUCCUAUCGGAUCUAUUCCAUUGCUCGCAACUUGUAGUCCGGAUUAUCAGGAUUCGGUGUCAAGAGUUGUGAGUGGCUCGAAUCAAGUAUAUCAAGAAUUUAUCAAGAGCGAAGAGGGACGUGGAUUCAACGGGCAAAUAUGCUUCGUCGCCGAUUCGGUUGGUUCGAUAUUAGGAUACGACACCCUCUGCCGAUCUUUGCAAUAUCAGUCUAGGCACGACAGUGAGAAUAGCAUUUUAGAAAAUGACAAUCAAGUAGGCGAAGAUAACGACGGAAACGAGGAUGGUAAACAUUUGUCGGCUCCCUCUCCGAGAAGAAGGUCUUCCUCGACAAGCGAUAAUUUCAACCACUGCAAAUUAGACUUUGAGGUCGGUGAAUUCUUUAUGUUUGGAAGUCCCUUGUCUCUCGUCCUAGCGUAUAGAAAGAUAUCAUCUACCGGAGACAAAAAUAGUAACAUUCCUAGGCCACUGGUAAAUCAGGUUUACAACUUAUUUCAUCCGACCGACCCAGUCGCCGCUCGUUUAGAACCUUUGAUUUCUGCAAGGUUUUCACUUCUCCCUCCAGUUAACGUUGCUCGAUAUCAGAAGUACCCGCUUGGAAACGGGCAACCGUAUCAUCUGCUGGAGGCUGUGCAGACCAAUCCGCAACUGUUUGUCGAUGGUUUGAACGUGCCAAACACCCCUAUGCCUCAUAUGCGAAGAAUGUCCGAGAUAUCUCUGCAGAGUACGAUGUCCGGAGUCGUGGAUAACAUCCCGUUGCAAGCGAUAACAGCCCUGACGCAGAAGUGGUGGGGGAAUAAGAGAAUCGACUAUGCUCUGUACUGUCCCGAAGGUUUGGCCAACUUUCCUACAAACGUGUUACCCCACCUAUUUCACGCCAGUUAUUGGGAAUCUUCGGACGUAAUCGCUUUUAUAUUAAGACAGUUGGGGAGGUUCGAUUUACCGAUGCUAGGCAACGAAGAAAAAGAACUCACAUGCUUCCGUCCAGGGCAGCCCAGAGAGAAAUGGAAUAAAAAACGAACGUCCGUUAAACUUAAGAAUGCUGCUGCCAAUCAUAGAGCAAAUGAUGUUAUAGUGAGAGAAGGUGCUCCUCAAGUACUAAUAGCGAGGUUUAUGUACGGCUUCUUAGAUAUGAUAGCUUUAACAGGAGAAAAAGUAGACAUACAUGUAAUGAAAGACGCGCCGGCGGGCGAGUGGACUUUUUUGUCUACCGAAGUAACGGACAAAACUGGUCGAGUCGCGUACAAAAUUCCCGACGAGAAAGCACUGGGCUAUGGAAUAUAUCCUGUGAAAAUGGUUGUUCGCGGUGAUCAUACUUCAUUAGACUUUUUCAUGGCUGUGAUACCACCAAAGACGGAAUGCGUUGUAUUCAGUAUCGACGGCUCUUUCACUGCUAGCAUGUCCGUGACGGGUAGAGAUCCGAAAGUCAGAGCAGGCGCCGUUGAUAUAGUAAGACAUUGGCAAGAACUGGGAUACCUGAUUAUCUAUAUCACCGGACGACCUGACAUGCAACAGCAAAAGGUAGUUUCCUGGCUUUCGCAGCAUAAUUUCCCUCACGGCUUGGUAUCCUUUGCCGAAGGUUUGUCGACCGAUCCUCUUCGACACAAGGCUGCAUAUUUAAACACGCUGAUUCAGGAACACGGCGUGAUCAUUCACAUGGCUUACGGAAGUAACAAGGACAUAAGCGUAUACACGGCAAUAAAUUUGAAACCGAAUCAAAUAUUCAUUGUUGGAAAAGUUUCAAAGAAACAUCAAGCAUUCGCUACUAUACUCUACGAAGGCUAUGCCGCUCACUUAAGCGCUCUGACCGCGGUCGGAGGCUCCAGACCGGCGCAAGGCAAUGCUCGAAUGGUAAUACCGAGGGGUCAGUUUGGUCUACCGGGACAGAAUGCCUCGUUACGCCGUCGAAGGUACCUGUUAUGAAGAUAUGUCGUGCGCAGCGUAGCUACUAUUUGCUCCCACCAACAGCUGCCUCUACCCUAUAAUCUGAUUUACCGUUUUACUAUCAGCCAUAUUUAUGUCCAGGAUUUGUGGUUAAUCUACCGAUUAUAUAUCUCAAGGAUAAACUCUUUAUUGCUUACUCCCGAAAUGAACUGGUCUCACUUUAUCGACGAAGAUCAGCAAAACGUGCAGUGUCGCAUCCGUUGAUGGGUGAUGUGUGCGUCUUGGAAAGAAGCACAAGCGUCGGACCACCGCCAGCUUCGCAAGUGCCGCAACUGAAAAGAACGAUGACCCAGGACAAGCUCUGACGA